AUGGCUGUCGUCAGCUCGUGUCGUGAGAUGUUGGGUUAAGUCCCGCAACGAGCGCAACCCUUGUCCGAUGUUACCAGCGGGUUAUGCCGGGGACUCGUCGGAGACUGCCGGGGUCAACUCGGAGGAAGGUGGGGAUGACGUCAAGUCAUCAUGCCCCUUACGUCCAGGGCUGCACACAUGCUACAAUGGCCGGUACAACGGGCUGCUAUCCCGCGAGGGGGAGCCAAUCCCAAAAGCCGGUCUCAGUUCGGAUUGCAGUCUGCAACUCGACUGCAUGAAGUCGGAGUCGCUAGUAAUCCCGGAUCAGCAACGCCGGGGUGAAUACGUUCCCGGGCCUUGUACACACCGCCCGUCACACCACGAAAGUCGGCAACACCCGAAGCCGGUGGCCCAACCCCUUGGGGAGGGAGCCGUCGAAGGUGGGGUCGGCGAUUGGGGUGAAGUCGUAACAAGGUAGCCGUACCGGAAGGUGCGGCUGGAUCACCUCCUUUCUAAGGAGUCAUUUUCUCGACCAUUCCGGUCGAGGACUCCCAGUCGAUCACUGGUUAUUCGGCGCUCGUGCAUUCUCGGCGGCAGUCGAGUCCGACUCGUUCCCCUUUGGGGGAGCGGCCCGGGCCGGCCCCGUGUACCGGGGGUGUGUGAUCGUCGGACCCUCACUGCUCCGUUUUGAGGGAGCGACUAUGUCUUGUCGCUGCUUCCGCGACGUCGACGGCGUCCGCGCUCGUCGACCGCUCGCGCACUUCGUCCGGCCGCCUGUAGCAAAGGGCGGCAGCGCGCGCCCCUUGAGAAUUCCAUAGCGAGCACGAGCAUCUUUGUUCUCCAAGCUACAAAGAGCCAACGGUGGAUGCCUUGGCGCCUGAAGCCUAAGAAGGACGUGGGAGGCUGCGAAAAGCCACGGGGAGCUGCCGACCAAGCUUCGAUCCGUGGAUGUCCGAAUGGGGAAACCCGG
rnacentral:sRNA from 1 species